CACAAUAAAAUGAUGAAAUUAAAUUACAGUUACCUCGUUUGGUAGUUUACAGGAGAGGUCACUAGUCACUGAGGCUGGUGGGAGUCCUCCAUGAAAGGAUUGCAGAGGUUUGGUUGAGCCUGGCUAAAGCUUCCAUGUCUGGCUGGAUAAACGUAUCACUCUUGGAGCUACUAUUCCUUACGACAGGAGGAAGAAAGGAGCAGAAAAGAGUAGGAAAAAACCUACAUGUACAUGUAGUAUCGUCCUCCAAAAAGCUGAAGUUAAAUUGAGUAAACAAAGAGUUAAUUUUAUGGUGUUAUGUAGGCGUGGUGUAAAGUGCAGAAAUUUAAAAUGGUGGAUUUUCUGUCCAGCAAAUACUACUCAGAAACUAAAGUUUUAAAGCUAAAACUCAUCCUAGAAAUUUUUGUGAUUGUGUUUAGACCAGCCUCAUUGCAAUACUUCAUAUUCAUGCAAGUCAGUUCAGAGAUAUGGGAGUUUGAUCCCAAUGGUGAUACUUACUUUGAUGAAGCAGUUGAUGGUUUUUGAAGGAUCUCUUCUCCGUUUGGAAGAAGUACACACGUACAUGCAGUGUACGUGUAC